GUAAUUCCGGUGAAGAUGCCGGAUACCUUGGACAGGACGGAAAGACCCCAUGGGGCUUUACUGGAGCUUGACAUUGGGUCUUGGUACUACAUGUACAGGAUAGGUGGGAGGCUUUGAAACCAGGACGCCAGGUUUGGCGGAGCCAUCCUUGGGAUACCACCCUUGUAGUACUGGGACUCUAACCAUAGGCCAUGAAUCUGGUCUUGGGACACUGUCAGGUGGGCAGUUUGACUGGGGCGGUCGCCUCCCAAAAGGUAACGGAGGCGCUCAAAGGUUCUCUCAGUACGG
rnacentral:rRNA from 1 species